AGUCUUCUGAUGUAGUCUGGUAGAAGAAGCACAUGAAAUGGAUUCAUUGAAACCUUUCCCAGUUCUCUUUGAAUGUUUGAGAAAAUGCCAAUUGGUGUCGCCUAUCAUCAGAACUUUUCAGCAUCUGAUUGCGUCUGAAAAUUAAUUCUCAUAAAACUAUCGGACCAUCUUCAGCAGAUGCUAUAUAUUCCUCUCUGAAUAGUUAGCACCGACAUUUGUCUCUGCAUACUGAAAUAGGACUGUAUCAACUGUUUUAGCUACAAUGAUGCCAUUACUAAUGGCUGCAUGGUCCCCCAUUUUUGGAGAGGGGUGUGCGCUGGUAUAAUCUCAGGCAUCCAUAUUCUUUUGUGGUGAGUGUUAACCAGAAUGCUCUUUUUGUCCAGACUGUCACCAGGUGGUUUUAUAAUUAGAAGAUUCACUCUAAAAUGAAAGUCUGAGGUUGAUGAGGCAGAACAAGCUAUGUUUUAAAGGGGAAUUCUUAUUAGUACAAAAUAUGGGAGGCCAAACAAAAUCAAUUUUUACAGGAAGAUUAACCAAAUUGUUUAUUAUUGUAGUAAACAUUGCAGAAGUCAAGGGGAUGGGCUGUAUUUGCUGUAUUCAAGCAAGAGAGUGAAGUACUAUGGUCUAAUUUAUGCACAGUAAUUGUUCAUCUUAGCAUUCUCAUAGUUUGGGUAGUGACUCAUUUUGUUCUAGGUGACCUUUGUUCUCCAGAAGUGGCUGCUAUUAAAAAGUAGAAGCAAUAAAAAUAAAACUUCGGGUUUUAAAAAGAACCUGAACAUCAAGAGUAAAGCAAGGACUGCUAGUGUUAAGUAAUCUGCUACCUUUAUGCCUUUAUAGUGGGUUUGAAUAUUUGGAAAGUAACUUUUUUUCCUAAAAAACAUUCAGUAAGAUAUCUUUUUGGUGACAUAUUAUUUUAACAUUUAAAAAGGGAAAGCAUGAAAAUCAAGUUAGUUAAUCAUAGGCUUUUCCUUCUUCAUUUUACAUUCCUACUAUUUGGUUUCCUUUCAGGUGUAGAUGGGCAUGUUAGAGGAAGGGAUAUAUUUCAAAGAAAGAGCUUAAUAAAAUAAUUUACUGUCAGCAGGUCACCACUAACAAGCAAAACUUUUAUAAAUCAUGAGACAGUAGACUACAAAAGAUGAAUGAAAACCAAUGCCAAAAGACACAGUUUCCAAGGGGUUUUCAAAAAUGAUGAAAG